UACGUAGGGCGCAAGCGUUGUCCGGAAUUACUUGGGCUGUUGAAAUGAAGGCUCGUAGGUGGUGUUGUCGCGGUACUGCCGGUGAAAGCCCCGGGGCCUUAACUCCGGGGUCCUGCGAAUGGAUACGGGCAGACUAGAGGGCAGGUAGGGGAGAACGGAAAUUCCCGGUGUAGCGGUGAAAUGCGCAGAUAUCGGGAGGAACACCGGUGGCGAAGGCGGCGACCUGGCCGAUACUGACGCUGAGGCCGCGA
rnacentral:rRNA from 1 species